rnacentral:rRNA from 1 species
GUCCACGCCGUAAACGUUGGGCGCUAGGUGUGGGGGUCCUUCCACGACCUCCGUGCCGCAGCUAACGCAUUAAGCGCCCCGCCUGGGGAGUACGGCCGCAAGGCUAAAACUCAAAAGGAAUUGACGGGGGCCCGCACAAGCGGCGGAGCAUGCGGAUUAAUUCGAUGCAACGCGAAGAACCUUACCAAGGCUUGACAUGCACGGGAAAGUUCCAGAGAUGGUUCCCCCGUAAGGUCCGUGCACAGGUGGUGCAUGGUUGUCGU